GGGCUCGUGGUCUAGUUGGCUAUGACGUCGCCUUGACAUGGCGGAGAUCCGGAGUUCGAAUCUCCGCGGGCCCA
rnacentral:tRNA from 1 species